AAAUUCUCUAAAAUUUCUACCAAAAAUUCUAUACAAUUUCUUCAAAUUUGGUAGAACUUUUUUGUUUGUACAUUUUUUUGUUAGAUCGAAUUUUAAGCUUCAGAUAAUACUUUUGUGGACGGUUUUUGUUGCUCCAAUUAGUAUUAUUCUUUAGGGUUUUUGUUUUGAGAUCCGGUUUAUUUAUUGGUUAUGAAUCCCAGAGGAAGAUAUCCACCGCCGGGAAUGGGAAGCGGCGGCGGAGGCGGCGGACGCGGGGGCGGAAACAUGUACCCUAACGCUAACCCUAAUUUUCAACCGAGAAAUCCACAGCAGUAUGUGCAGAGAGGUCCGGUGAACCAGCAGCAGCAGUUUCAGAACCAACAGGCACAGCAAUGGCUCAGAAGGAACCAGUUGGCAUCUGAUUCUACGGUUGAUGAGGUUGAAAAGACGGUACAAUCUGAAGCAGUUGAUCAAAGUUCACAAGACUGGAAGGCGAGGUUGAAGAUACCACCAGCGGAUACUAGAUACAGGACAGAGGAUGUGACAGCGACCAAGGGAAAUGAAUUUGAAGACUAUUUUCUUAAGCGUGAAUUGCUUAUGGGAAUUUAUGAAAAGG
rnacentral:misc_RNA from 1 species